rnacentral:rRNA from 1 species
AGGACGAACGCUGGCGGCGCGCUUAACACAUGCAAGUCGAGCGGAAAGGCUCCUUUCGGGGGGUACUCGAGCGGCGAACGGGUGAGUAACACGUGAGUAACCUGCCCUGGACUUUGGGAUAACCCUCGGAAACGGGGGCUAAUACCGGAUAUGACACGCGGAUGCAUGUUUGUGUGUGGAAAGAUUUUUGGUCUGGGAUGGGCUCGCGGCCUAUCAGCUUGUUGGUGGGGUGAUGGCCUACCAAGGCGACGACGGGUA